rnacentral:rRNA from 1 species
AGCACACGACUGACGCUCAUGCACGAAAGCGUGGGUAUCGAACAGGAUUAGAUACCCUGGUAGUCCACGCGGUAAACGAUGAUAACUAGUUAUUCGGCGCGACUGAGCGCUGAGUGACCGAGCGAAAGCGUUAAGUUAUCCACCUGGGGAGUACGCCGGCAACGGUGAAACUCAAAGGAAUUGACGGGGGCCCGCACAAGCGGAGGAACAUGUGGUUUAAUUCGAUGAUACGCGAGGAACCUUACCCGGGCUCAAACGCAGCGCGACAGACCCUGAAAGGGGUUUUUCUUCGGACGCGCUGCGAGGUGCUGCAUGGUUGUCGUCAGCUCGUGCCGUGAGGUGUCGGCUUAAGUGCCAUAACGAGCGCAACCCCCAUCUUCAGUUGCCCCCGGGUAAAGCCGGGCACUCUGGAGAGACUGCCGGCGCAAGCUGUGAGGAAGGCGGGGAUGACGUCAAAUCAGCACGGCCCUUACGUCCGGGGCGACACACGUGUUACAAUGGCGGGGCAACAGAGGGAAGCCAGGCGGCGACGCCGAGCGGAUCCCGAAAACCCGUCUCAGUUCGGAUCGGAGUCUGCAACCCGACUCCGUGAAGCUGGAUU